rnacentral:tRNA from 1 species
GCCAAGGUGGCUCAGUGGUUGAGCGUCGACCUAUGACCCAGGAGGUCAGGGUUCGAUUCCCGGUCAGGGCA